UACGAAGGGGGCUAGCGUUGCUCGGAAUCACUGGGCGUAAAGCGCAUGUAGGCGGAUCUUUAAGUCGGGGGUGAAAUCCUGGAGCUCAACUCCAGAACUGCCUUCGAUACUGGGGAUCUUGAGUCCGGAAGAGGUAAGUGGAACUGCGAGUGUAGAGGUGAAAUUCGUAGAUAUUCGCAAGAACACCAGUGGCGAAGGCGGCUCACUGGUCUGGUACUGACGCUGAGGUGCGAAAGCGUGGGGAGCAAACAGG
rnacentral:rRNA from 1 species